rnacentral:rRNA from 1 species
GGGUUGUGAGGUUAAGCGACUAAGCGUACACGGUGGAUGCCCUGGCAGUCAGAGGCGAUGAAGGACGUGCUAAUCUGCGAUAAGCGUCGGUAAGGUGAUAUGAACCGUUAUAACCGGCGAUUUCCGAAUGGGGAAACCCAGUGUGUUUCGACACACUAUCAUUAACUGAAUCCAUAGGUUAAUGAGGCGAACCGGGGGAACUGAAACAUCUAAGUACCCCGAGGAAAAGAAAUCAACCGAGAUUCCCCCAGUAGCGGCGAGCGAACGGGGAGGAGCCCAGAGCCUGAAUCAGUGUGUGUGUUAGUGGAAGCGUCUGGAAAGGCGCGCGAUACAGGGUGACAGCCCCGUACACAAAAAUGCACAUAUUGUGAGCUCGAUGAGUAGGGCGGGACACGUGGUAUCCUGUCUGAAUAUGGGGGGACCAUCCUCCAAGGCUAAAUACUCCUGACUGACCGAUAGUGAACCAGUACCGUGAGGGAAAGGCGAAAAGAACCCCGGCGAGGGGAGUGAAAAAGAACCUGAAACCGUGUACGUACAAGCAGUGGGAGCCUCUUUUAUGGGGUGACUGCGUACCUUUUGUAUAAUGGGUCAGCGACUUAUAUUCUGUAGCAAGGUUAACCGAAUAGGGGAGCCGAAGGGAAACCGAGUCUUAACUGGGCGUUAAGUUGCAGGGUAUAGACCCGAAACCCGGUGAUCUAGCCAUGGGCAGGUUGAAGGUUGGGUAACACUAACUGGAGGACCGAACCGACUAAUGUUGAAAAAUUAGCGGAUGACUUGUGGCUGGGGGUGAAAGGCCAAUCAAACCGGGAGAUAGCUGGUUCUCCCCGAAAGCUAUUUAGGUAGCGCCUCGUGAAUUCAUCUCCGGGGGUAGAGCACUGUUUCGGCAAGGGGGUCAUCCCGACUUACCAACCCGAUGCAAACUGCGAAUACCGGAGAAUGUUAUCACGGGAGACACACGGCGGGUGCUAACGUCCGUCGUGAAGAGGGAAACAACCCAGACCGCCAGCUAAGGUCCCAAAGUCAUGGUUAAGUGGGAAACGAUGUGGGAAGGCCCAGACAGCCAGGAUGUUGGCUUAGAAGCAGCCAUCAUUUAAAGAAAGCGUAAUAGCUCACUGGUCGAGUCGGCCUGCGCGGAAGAUGUAACGGGGCUAAACCAUGCACCGAAGCUGCGGCAGCGACACUAUGUGUUGUUGGGUAGGGGAGCGUUCUGUAAGCCUGUGAAGGUGUGCUGUGAGGCAUGCUGGAGGUAUCAGAAGUGCGAAUGCUGACAUAAGUAACGAUAAAGCGGGUGAAAAGCCCGCUCGCCGGAAGACCAAGGGUUCCUGUCCAACGUUAAUCGGGGCAGGGUGAGUCGACCCCUAAGGCGAGGCCGAAAGGCGUAGUCGAUGGGAAACAGGUUAAUAUUCCUGUACUUGGUGUUACUGCGAAGGGGGGACGGAGAAGGCUAUGUUGGCCGGGCGACGGUUGUCCCGGUUUAAGCGUGUAGGCUGGUUUUCCAGGCAAAUCCGGAAAAUCAAGGCUGAGGCGUGAUGACGAGGCACUACGGUGCUGAAGCAACAAAUGCCCUGCUUCCAGGAAAAGCCUCUAAGCAUCAGGUAACAUCAAAUCGUACCCCAAACCGACACAGGUGGUCAGGUAGAGAAUACCAAGGCGCUUGAGAGAACUCGGGUGAAGGAACUAGGCAAAAUGGUGCCGUAACUUCGGGAGAAGGCACGCUGAUAUGUAGGUGAAGUCCCUCGCGGAUGGAGCUGAAAUCAGUCGAAGAUACCAGCUGGCUGCAACUGUUUAUUAAAAACACAGCACUGUGCAAACACGAAAGUGGACGUAUACGGUGUGACGCCUGCCCGGUGCCGGAAGGUUAAUUGAUGGGGUCAGCGCAAGCGAAGCUCUUGAUCGAAGCCCCGGUAAACGGCGGCCGUAACUAUAACGGUCCUAAGGUAGCGAAAUUCCUUGUCGGGUAAGUUCCGACCUGCACGAAUGGCGUAAUGAUGGCCAGGCUGUCUCCACCCGAGACUCAGUGAAAUUGAACUCGCUGUGAAGAUGCAGUGUACCCGCGGCAAGACGGAAAGACCCCGUGAACCUUUACUAUAGCUUGACACUGAACAUUGAGCCUUGAUGUGUAGGAUAGGUGGGAGGCUUAGAAGUGUGGACGCCAGUCUGCAUGGAGCCGACCUUGAAAUACCACCCUUUAAUGUUUGAUGUUCUAACGUGGACCCGUGAUCCGGGUUGCGGACAGUGUCUGGUGGGUAGUUUGACUGGGGCGGUCUCCUCCUAAAGAGUAACGGAGGAGCACGAAGGUUGGCUAAUCCUGGUCGGACAUCAGGAGGUUAGUGCAAUGGCAUAAGCCAGCUUGACUGCGAGCGUGACGGCGCGAGCAGGUGCGAAAGCAGGUCAUAGUGAUCCGGUGGUUCUGAAUGGAAGGGCCAUCGCUCAACGGAUAAAAGGUACUCCGGGGAUAACAGGCUGAUACCGCCCAAGAGUUCAUAUCGACGGCGGUGUUUGGCACCUCGAUGUCGGCUCAUCACAUCCUGGGGCUGAAGUAGGUCCCAAGGGUAUGGCUGUUCGCCAUUUAAAGUGGUACGCGAGCUGGGUUUAGAACGUCGUGAGACAGUUCGGUCCCUAUCUGCCGUGGGCGCUGGAGAACUGAGGGGGGCUGCUCCUAGUACGAGAGGACCGGAGUGGACGCAUCACUGGUGUUCGGGUUGUCAUGCCAAUGGCACUGCCCGGUAGCUAAAUGCGGAAGAGAUAAGUGCUGAAAGCAUCUAAGCACGAAACUUGCCCCGAGAUGAGUUCUCCCUGACUCCUUGAGAGUCCUGAAGGAACGUUGAAGACGACGACGUUGAUAGGCCGGGUGUGUAAGCGCAGCGAUGCGUUGAGCUAACCGGUACUAAUGAACCGUGAGGCUUAACCUUACAACGCCGAAGCUGUU